GUGACAGGGGCAGCCCCCUUCUAUUGGGAAGGGUCCCGUCUGUCAGUUGAAGUAGCUGGAAGGACAGGCAGGAGCCCAGAGGGGCCCAGGUUCUUAACCACGGGGAGAAAUGGAUUGAGGCAGCCAAUGGCAGGUGGUACCAGAAACAGGGAGUCCAGAUUCUGGACUCAAGGUUCUCUAACUGGCUCCCAACCUCCUAAGCCACCCGCCCGCAGCCUUGACAGCAUAAGAAGUCGACGCCAUGUGACAAGCCAGGCGCAGCGGCUCAUGCCUGAAAUCCCAGCACUUUAGGAGGCCAAGUGGCCAGCAAAGUGCCAAGAUGAAGAACAUCACCAGCUCAGGACUCUACGUGACCGUAAUGCUCACAGCUCCUGGUCCACCUACUGUGGACAUGUAACAAGGGCAAGGAAUAGACCUUUGCUGCUUUGUUGUUGUU